CAGAGGCAUUGGGUAGCUACUUGGUUGAUUCUUUUGUUUAGCUACUGCUGGAGUUCUUUUGAGUUGUGGUUAAACAACUUCAUAAUUGUUGUAGUUGCAUGCCCUGCUGCAUCUGAUCAUGCUCGCAAUUACCUUAAUGAAGUGCAACAGGGACAAUACUUUUACACAAUUACAAAUGGCGUGACUAAGGAGGAGUGUGAAGACACUACAUAUGUUGUUUUUUU